CAGCUUCCAUCACCACCACGGCCUCUGGUUCUUGCAAAUGCACCAACUCUAUACAAAUUCUCGGGCGCAUGGAUGCGUCUUUGAGAGACGGAUUAACUUUCCAACGCCCGGGCGGCCGGCAGACGAACCUUGCUUAAAACUGACCCUGGAUUGGUUGACGUGAACACGCACGGAGGGUAUGGAUGGUGUACAGUGAUACCAGUGAGGAUGAAGCUACCAUUUCAUCCCUGAUUUUACAUACUACAUCGGUUAAAGGCCCAGUGCAAGAAGAGGACCUGAGCCCUAGGACCAUGCCUCAGGACUACCUAGCCUGAUGACUCCUUGCUGUCCCCAGUCCACCUGGUCGUGCUGCUGCUCCAGUUUCAACUGUUCUGCCUGUGGCUAUGGAACCCUGACCUGUUCACCGGACAUGCUACCUUGUCCCAGACCUGCUGUUUUCGACUCUCUCUCUCUACCGCACCUGCUGUCUCUAACGCUGAAUGAUCGGCUAUGAAAAGCCAACUGACAUUUACUCCUGAGGUGCUGACCUUUUGCAUCCUCUACAACCACUGUGAUUAUUAUUAUUUGACCCUGCUGGUCAUCU
rnacentral:lncRNA from 1 species